AUGCAGCUGACGAGUCCCAGAUAGGUCGAAGCGCACGUCCUGUAU
rnacentral:hammerhead_ribozyme from 1 species